UACAGAGGUCUCAAGCGUUGUUCGGAUUCAUUGGGCGUAAAGGGUGCGUAGGCGGCGCCGUAAGUCAGGUGUGAAAUUUCGAGGCUUAACCUCGAAACUGCAUUUGAUACUGCGGUGCUUGAGGACUGGAGAGGAGACUGGAAUUCAUGGUGUAGCAGUGAAAUGCGUAGAGAUCAUGAGGAAGACCAGUGGCGAAGGCGGGUCUCUGGACAGUUCCUGACGCUGAGGCACGAAGGCCAGGGGAGCAAACGGG
rnacentral:rRNA from 1 species